rnacentral:tRNA from 1 species
AGCGAGGUGGGGGAGAGGUUACCCCGCCGGUCUCAUAAGCCGGAGACGUGCGUUCGAUUCGCACCCACGCUC